AGUAAGACAAUUAUCAAUCUGGCACAUGUGUAACUGGAAUCUCAGAAACAGAGAGACAGAGAAUGGGACAGAAGAGAUCUCUGACGAGACAACAGCAGAGAAUUCCUCCAAAAUACCGAAGGGCAACGAACCACAGAUCGGAGAAGCUCAGGGAACCCCAAGCAGGAUCAGUAUCCACUUCCACCAGGCCAAAAACCACAUGCCCGGACGCAUCAUAUUCCAAGUGCUGAAAAUCAACGAUAAAGAGAAAAUCUCGAAGGCACUCAGGGAAAAAAAAGACCCAUUCCACAAAGGAACAGAGAAUUGUAACUGACCACUCGUCAGAAACCAUGGAAACCAUGGGACAAUGGGGUGACACAUCUGGUGUGCCCAACGAUACAAGGAGGGGGACCCAGGAACGAUGUUUACUCCCACACUUAGCAGAUGAGUGGCAUCUUGAAGAUGAGAAGUCCUCAUCAGAACCCCGAGAGCGGUUCUCCAGGCUUUCUCUUCCAAGCCCAAGCGGCGAUGAGGGGAGAGGCUCCCUUCGCCAAGCCAGGAACCUGGACGUGCCGCCCUCUUCCCUGAUGCCAAGCCCUCCCGACCGUGUGCAGGUAGCCGGAGUGAGAGCGAAGGGAAGGAGCAGGGAGAGGAGCAGAAAAGAGAAGGGGGGAGAGGAAGGAGAAACAGCACAGCCGCCUCGGAACGAAACCUCCUGUUACGCUCUUCAAGCCUCUGCCCUCGCCCCCGGAAGGCGGGUAACUAGCCGCCGUGUGGUGUCACUGAAAGGGACACGGGUGCACGCUGGCCUCGGAACAAACGUGAGCUCCAGGUGGGGGGGCGGUUCCCUCGGCAUCUCGUAGCCCGCUUCCUGGUGCACGCACAAGGCGCUCAACGGCCCCCUCCCCAGGCUGUGGGAAAAGCAAACGAGAUGCCGCGUGUGAACACCCGGGACGCACGUGGCGCGGAACAGGUGCUGGCCAAAUGCGAGUUCCCACCCCCGUGACCUCUCCCCAACUCUUCCGGGACUUGGGUCAGCUCCGUUGUCCAAACGCUCAGAUGCCGGUUCCACCCUCUCCCCUCCUUUCCCCUCUCCGGACCUGUAUCCAUCUACAAAAAGGAAACAAUCCCAAGAACACAAGACUGUUCGCAGGCUCAAAAGAGGCAGACAGGGGGACCGUAGCUGUAGUCGGUAAUCCCACCCGGCUUCACAUCCAGGUCCCACAUACGGCCACCCCCUCCAUGCAGUCCUCCAGUGAUCCCCCUUCCUGGGCCCCUGACCUGACCUUGAGAACAACCACCCUGUCCGGUCAGUCAGCUUUCAGCAUCAGGAGCCUGGCUUCCCAAUGUCACCGCCAGCUCCUUGAGAAGAGCGUCCCCACAUUCACAACACUCCCCAAUCGGCCUCUCCUAGGCCUGGUGGCGUGCGUACACAAAGAAAAGUCAUCCGCCUGGCCUGGGACCUAGGAUCUCCCCACGGCCUCCCCAGCUGUCUUAAGAUUUAAGACUCAACUGAAUCCAUCAGGCCCAAUCCCCUCACUUUUCAUGGGCUUCAGCCGAGGAGCCUCUCCCAGAGCUGAUGCUUCGUGACUUCAGGGACCGGCUCGCACGGUCACAAGACGCUUCCGCAGACAAUCGAAUUUAACACUUGGCAUCGAAGAGGCGGUAAAAAUGAAGGACUAUAAACGAGGACGGAGAUAAAGAGAACAGUCCUCUGCAGAAGGCACAGUGGGCUCCCCGUACCUGGAUCACGGAUGAACUGGGGCCAUCCCAGAGAGGUUCCGGCCACGAUGGCAGUUUCGGACCCCCGUGCAGACCAGUAUGACAGCCACAAGCUACCUGUGGCUACUGAGCACCCGAGACAUGACGAGUGCUUCUGAGGAACCGAGUUUCUACUUUUAUGCCCUUUCGAUUCAUCGAAUCCAAAAAGCCGCACGUGGCUACAGGCUACUGAACCGGGCAGCACAGUCCUACCCUGCCACCUGAGCUAAAACGUCAGAAACACAGAAACACUCCCAGAGCAUGGUGGAGCGCAGAGGGAAAAGCCAGGAUUAAUUACCACCAGAAACCCCCGGCCCCGUGAACCCCUGUUCUGCAUCAGUGUGGGGGAGGGGAGGGGACAAGGACUCUACAAGCCCUUCCAGCUCUGACCAAUUGCAAGUUCACCACGAUCUCCCAGACGUGGGCUCUGGAAACCCAAGUGGCCCUGUGGUUUCUCUCAGGGGCCUCCGCUAGUUCUGGCUUCUUGCCCAAGCCUGGCACCGGCCACCCUGUAGCUACCUGUCCCCCAGCAGACAGUGUGCUCACGGAGGGCAGGCAGCAGAUGGGAUUGCUCUCGGCAGCCCCAGCACCUGAUCCCAGCACCUAGAAAAGCGCCAGGGCACAUCAGGUGCCGGGGAGUGAAGGCCCGCAUCAGCAGCACGACCCUUCCUCGCGCUUACCGUGCAUCUGGCUCGGGGAGGGGUGCUCACGCAUCAUCCCCCUCUUCCUCACAGCCGCCCAUCAAGAUGGUAAGGUGGUCUCCCCCACCCCUGCGGAAACCACAGCUCCGAGGGGUGAGCACCUGACAUGUGGGACUGGGUAAGUGGCCGCUCACCUAUUCCUAAAGCAUUCCAGGUGCAUCCUAAGCCACAACCGGCCUGUGCUCAAGAUAAUGGCCUCCAAGACCCCAGGGCCAGGGCCACCCCGCAAUUGCCCAGUUUAAGCUGCAGAUUCCAUGGCAGAGGAAACCAAGGCUCCGACGUGCCCAAGGGUAGUGGCUUCCUGGAACCAGAUCUCCCUGUUACCAGAGGCCACUGGCAAUGACUUCCAGAGCCCUUUCCUCUGGUUGACAGGGAAUCUCCAUGGCACCCUUUGGGGCCCAGUUUUUCCACCCCCUUGAUCAUUUCAUGUAACAAACUUCACGAACGGUGGGGUGGGGGGAGCGAAAGCCUUCAGAGGCACGGGUGAGAGCCUGGAGAGGCCAUAAGGACUGCUGGAAUUUUUUCUUUUUUUUUUUAAGUUUUAAAGAGGUGGCUCUCUGGGGUUCUGCGUGAAGGGGCCUCACACAAGGCAUAAGGGUCUCAAGGCCACCACUGGGUUUUCUGUCACCAAGGGAAAGAGCUCUAUGUUUAUUCUCCUUAUUAAAAGUCCACGAUGUGCUUCCAUCUGUCUUUGAACGAUGCAAGUUCAAACAAGA